rnacentral:rRNA from 2 species
CCCAGUAACGGCGAGUGAAGCGGCAACAGCUCAAAUUUGAAAUCUGGCUCUCGGGCCCGAGUUGUAAUUUGUAGAGGAUGCUUUUGGUGAGGUGCCUUCCGAGUUCCCUGGAACGGGACGCCAUAGAGGGUGAGAGCCCCGUCUGGUUGGACACCGACCCUCUGUAAAGCUCCUUCGACGAGUCGAGUAGUUUGGGAAUGCUGCUCUAAAUGGGAGGUAUAUGUCUUCUAAAGCUAAAUACCGGCCAGAGACCGAUAGCGCACAAGUAGAGUGAUCGAAAGAUGAAAAGAACUUUGAAAAGAGAGUUAAAAAGUACGUGAAAUUGUUGAAAGGGAAGCGCUUGUGACCAGACUUGGGCUUGGUUGAUCAUCCGGGGUUCUCCCCGGUGCACUCUUCCGGCCCAGGCCAGCAUCAGUUCGCCCUGGGGGACAAAGGCUUCGGGAAUGUGGCUCUCUCCGGGGAGUGUUAUAGCCCGCUGCGUAAUACCCUGUGGCGGACUGAGGUUCGCGCAUUCGCAAGGAUGCUGGCGUAAUGGUCAUCAGUGACCCGUCUUGAAACACGGACCAAGGAGUCGUCUUCGUAUGCGAGUGUUCGGGUGUCAAACCCCUACGCGAAAUGAAAGUGAACGCAGGUGAGAGCUUCGGCGCAUCAUCGACCGAUCCUGAUGUUAUCGGAUGGAUUUGAGUAAGAGCAUACGGGGCCGGACCCGAAAGAAGGUGAACUAUGCCUGUGUAGGGUGAAGCCAGAGGAAACUCUGGUGGAGGCUCGCAGCGGUUCUGACGUGCAAAUCGAUCGUCAAACAUGGGCAUG